CUCACUCUUCAAAAAUAAGAACAAAUAAAAAUUUGUGUUUCUCACUGAAGUCAUAAAUAGAAGUGCUAAUUGUUAAAUUGACAACAGAAUCCACUAUGCACUUACUCCCCAGGUAGGACCUCUGUCCUUGAUGAGUUGUACUAUGAGAAUUAACUGCAAAACUUGUUCUCAAACUGUACUUUUUACAUUGUGUUUGUGUGGGGGGUUCAAACUGUUGAAAUCUUUACUUAGAAUAGAGUUGGUCUUCUGUAUAUAAAGUUAAUUAAAAAUGAAUCUUAAUGAAGAAUGGGAUGGGAGAGGGAGUAGGAAGUGGGACAGGAGUGGGGGUGGGAAGGUGGGUAUGGAGGGAAACCACUAUAUUCUUAAAGUUGUACCUAUGAAAUUUGUAUUCAUUAAAUAAAUGCUUUUUUAAAAAAUGUGUUUCUAUUUUGAUACAAAAUGUUGCCUGUUGUACUCCACCUCUGAAUAAUGAGGAGAAAGUCAGACUCUGCAUCAGCCUCUUCAUGGAGAGCCUUUCAACCUCUGCAUUGGAACACAAACAAUGUACAUCCCACAGGCUAAGGCAGUGAGACAUCUUUCUGAAGCAGAACAAUCGAAGGCACUUUUGAUGCAUCCUCGAGGAAAACCUGUGGUUCAAAAAUCUCUCAUCCCCUCUUCAGAGCCAUCAACAGGGUCACUUGAGACCAUGGCAGUUUUCCCAAGUUCCUGUGUUCUAAGAAACUAGAUCCUGGAUGAUUGUGCAGGCAUUUGGUAAAGUCUGGGUGCAUCCCAGCGCACAGAUACCAGGUCAAAGGAAACUGUUGAUCUCCAUCCCCAUCUCAGUCAGGAUGUUGGUGCCAAUGAUUCUACCUGCCAUCCAGCCAAACUGUAACUUUCUUUUUAUUUAUUUAAUUAUUUAUUUAAAAAGCACUUGCUAUGUGGUAACACUAGAGUAGACAUUCUUCAAGUAGUUUGCAUAGCCAUGGGGAAAAUCAUCUUUAUUGUAUAUCUCUACAUUCAAAUAAUGUGAGACUCAAUGAAUCUAUUCGUCUGUUCAUUCAGCGAAGUACUUGGUAGCUCUGAGGCAAAGUACCUUGGGAUGGAGAGAAUGGGCACAUUCUAGGGUGAAAGGGAAGAAGGAGUUACACAGAUCUUUCAUUGACACUAGAAGUUGGACAGCUUUGUGGCACCAGAGUGAGGUUGCUAACAUUUUCUUUCCAUACUAGUCUUUCAGCAGUUUGGGCUGAGUAUUUCUUUGGAAACAGAUGUGUCUCUCGAGUUUCAGGGUGCCUGACUAAGACAUCAAAGAGUGUGAUCUGGUCACUGAACCUGUUCAAAUCUCAAGGGAGAAGGUAAAAGAAACUCCAACCUCCUUACAGGUUGUUCAACUCAGGAAACUGUAACCAUCAAAGCUCCACUAAAGACAUGUCUCUUGGAAAUUUAACAUCCCCACAGAGCCUUACUGAAUGAAGGCAAUGUGUUAGUUUUCUGCAGGCAUAACUGGAUACAGACAAUUAAGACAAGGUCUCUCCUUGAGCAGUUCUUGCACUGUGAAAUUCAGGAAGUUCAUAUCCAAGCAUUUCCUAGCAGUGGCUCCAGUGAUUAUUACUUGCAUUAAUUAUCUGGGUCUUGUGCAGUUUUAUGUAUGUACGUAUGUGUGUGUCUUCAUUAAUCAGUGCAUCGUUUCAUUCCUUUAAUCAACAUUUAUGGAGUCCUACCACAGUCCUGGCACUGUUCUGCUCAUAGAGAAUACAGCAGUGAACCACAUGCAGCCAGUCAUCCAUUAAGAAAGCAAGGAUCUGAUGUAAGCAUUGGGACUGAAGGAAAGAAAGGAUGCCAUGCAGCCAUGGAGAUGCACGUAUGCUGGGUGAAAUCAGAGCCUGUCUGGCUUGGGAUCCCCCUACCCACUAGGAGAUCACAUUCAUGGAAGAAUUUUGAGAUGAAUAGCUACUCCAUAGGAUUCCUGUAAGAGUUACAUGUAGAGAAUUGACAGAAUGUACUUGUGAUAUGGACAGACAUUUGUGGAACAGCAGGUUAAGCCACUGUUUGGGACACCCACAACCCAUAUCAGAGUGCUGGUUCAAGUGCUGGCUACUCCACUUCUGUUGCAGCUCCCUGCUAAUGUGCUCAAGUGCUUGAGUCUCUGCCACCCACCCAGAUGGAGUUACUGGCUCCUAGCUUCACCUUGGCCCAGACCCAACUGGGGGCAUUGGGGGAAUAAACUAACAAACUCUGUCA
rnacentral:lncRNA from 1 species